AAAACUCAGUGAACUGUGUCUAUGGGGU
rnacentral:sRNA from 1 species